UCGCUGAGGAGUGACGCAAUCUGACGUGAGACAAUGCGCUCUCUACAUAACAGCCCGGAAGUUUCUGAAGAAAUCCAUUAAGUUUUCACGUUUUUCUCAGCACCAAGCUACCUAGAACAGAUGGCGGGGUUCGAUCUCGUGCCUGUAGAUGGUGGCAGUCCAAUACACCUGCCCGAGGGGGAGACACUGCUGGGAAGGGGUCCAUUCCUUGGCGUCAGCGACAAAAGAGUCUCCAGACACCACUGCCUCCUUGAGAACCUGAAUGGGCAGCUGCGCAUCAAACCU